UUAAAUAUGGAGGAAACCGAGUCAUAGAGUAUUGUGUAGUUGCUGAUAAUGUGUUGCCUGUUUCUGGAGCAUUAGCAUCAUAUGCAAAACACUGAAAGGCUGAACGGCAAACACAACAUAAAGCAUGUACUGCUUUUCCCUCAGCUGGUGAACAGGUUGCAGGAGAGGCAUGACCAUGAUGCAUUUACAUGAACAGAGCAAUGCCUGCCCACUCUGGCCAAUCUCUAUAACUAAUGCUGGAUUCUCGGACACUGGAUGAAUCACUAUGAAAAAAAUAGCCAUAAAAAACACACAGCCUGACAAAUUGGUUUUCCAGCUUAUUUAACCAGCUGCAGAUCGCGCCACUGAUAUCAUUCUCUGAAUGCAAGGAAUCUUACUGGUGUCAUUCUUAAAAUGCUGCGGAAAUUAAAAGAAUUUGGUC